rnacentral:rRNA from 1 species
AACCUCCGCAAUGUGAGAAAUCGCGACGGGGGGAUCCCAAGUGCCAUUCUUAACGGGAUGGCUUUUCUUAAGUGUAAAAAGCUUUUGGAAUAAGAGCUGGGCAAGACUGGUGCCAGCCGCCGCGGUAACACCGGCAGCUCUAGUGGUAGUUGUUUUUAUUGGGCCUAAAGCGUUCGUAGCCGGUUUGAUAAGUCACUGGUGAAAUCCUGUAGCUUAACUGUGGGAAUUGCUGGUGAUACUGUUGAACUUGAGGUCGGGAGAGGUUAGCGGUACUCCCAGGGUAGAGGUGAAAUUUUGUAAUCCUGGGAGGACCACCUGUGGCGAAGGCGGCUAACUGGAACGAACCUGACGGUGAGGGACGAAAGCUAGGGGCGCGAACCGGAUUAGAUACCCGGGUAGUCCUAGCCGUAAACGAUGCGGACUUGGUGUUGGGAUGGCUUUGAGCCGCUCCGGUGCCGAAGGGAAGCUGUUAAGUCCACCGCCUGGGAAGUACGGUCGCAAGACUGAAACUUAAAGGAAUU